UACGGAGGGGGCUAGCGUUGUUCGGAAUUACUGGGCGUAAAGCGCGCGUAGGCGGCUUUGUAAGUUAGAGGUGAAAGCCCGGAGCUCAACUCCGGAACUGCCUUUAAGACUGCAUCGCUAGAAUUGUGGAGAGGUGAGUGGAAUUCCGAGUGUAGAGGUGAAAUUCGUAGAUAUCAGGAAGAACACCAAUGGCGAAGGCAGCUCUCUGGGACGGUACUGACGCUGAGACGCGAAAGCGUGGGGAGCGAACAGG
rnacentral:rRNA from 1 species